rnacentral:misc_RNA from 1 species
ACUGCCAGGGGUCGGUGGUGGUGAGCUGUGUUCGGCCCGCUCUCUGUGGCACUCCCAGGGACCCCCGCCGCGACCUUCUAGGACUCCCACAGGACUCCUCUAGGAUCCAUGUCAAAUAGUUAACUUGAAGGAGGAGGAACAGUGAGAUAGAAUGAUGGAGAAGUGAGAUAAUUAAGUGAGAGAAAAAGUGAGAUAAUGAAGAAGUGAGAGAAAAGUGAGAUAACUCGAACUAAGUGAGAGAAAAAGAGAAAAUACUUCGUGUUUAUCAGAGUACAAAACGGGUAUCAUCGACUAGACAACAAUGGUUAAUGCCAAUGGAAUUUUAUGGUUAUUGAAUGGAAAACGUAGAACAGGGAUUAAGAAAAUGGAGAACUGUGGUUAAUGAGAAAUAAAUGAAGAAUAAUGAUGAUGGGAAAAUACAGCAAAAUGUUCUUUGAAGUAAUGAAUGAUUGGGAGAAAAAUGGUGAAUGAUCAGUGAAGGAGAAGAGGAAGAAGUGUGGUUAACGAGGAAAUUAACGAUGCAUCAAAACGGUGUUGAACGGUAGGGAAACAUGACAAGACCACGAGAGGGUGAUUCAUUACCCUGAGGCCCUGACACCAUGUAUACAACAGUUAUACAUAAUGUAUUUACAAUAGUUAAGUUUAGGGUAGAAAUGUACAUACAAUUCAAAAUAUUAUUUAUUAAGGAAAAUGAGAAGCAUUUAUGUGUUGAGACUCGACCAGGGGUGUGAGAUGACUUUUAUGGCUCAACCUGCGUGGCUCUGAGCGGUUCUCCGUCAGUGAGUGAGUCAAACCAGGUCAGGUAACAUAGAGCUGACUGACACAGGUGAAGAUGUUUUCUAAAGUGUUUAAAGUAGACAAGAAGUGUCGGGAUGGUGGUCGUCCAGAGCGCCCCGCCUCGGCCAGCGACCACCACCCAGCCUACUAUCCUCUACUACCGUCCUCGCUCCAAGAUCACAGGAAACGGGUGACUAUCCAUGACACUCAGGCACAAUCCCUGGAACAAGACUUGGACCUGUUGGAGCUGGUGUGUCGCAGUGACAGUCUACACAAGAGGCUGGACGAACUGCAGGCCAAGUACGAGAGGGUGGACGACGGCAUGGAAAACCUGACGAGCAGAGAAGCCCACAUCAAGCACCUCAGGUCAGUCAAGACCAAGAAGCCAGCCUCGGGGCUCUUCAAUGCCAUGAGAACCUCCAAGUCGUUCGAGGAAGGCGAGAAUACAAAGAAACCCAACUUCUUUAAGAGGAUAUUCGGCAACAGGUUAUCUAAGAGCGAGGACGACUUGCUGGAUAAGUCGCCGCCCUCGUCAUCCGUAGCACACGACGAAGUCAGCGAUAGCGAGGUGCCACCGACACCGCCGCCCAUGAAGGAACGACGAUCAGCCAGUGAGGACAUCUUAUCCACCCACGAUCUACUGCUGCGGGGACACGAGAAGCGGCAGAGUUGGUGCGCGGAAUUCACGGAGCGAGAGAUGAUGCCACCGCCAUCCAGCGCCGACCUGCAAAAGUCUGGCCUUAAGAGGAAGAGAGUGAUCAAGGUGUAUAAUCUUAGUCCAUUAGACCAGAAGGACCCCAGGAUGGGCUCCACGGAGUCCUGCAGCGACUCUACGGAUUCUGAGAUGGAAUUCAAAUCCAGAUAUGGCAGCGGAAACUUGCGUCGGGUGAGCAGUGGCUCCCAGCGGCACUAUACACACCGUGAGGAGCAACCGGGGGAGGACUGCUGCCAUUAUGCCAACGUGGAUGUUAUCAGGGAGUGUAGACCUGACUCCCCCGACCCCUACAAACACCCGGAACACAUUAACCAGGUAGACGGUGCUGGGGGGAGUGAGGAAGCCCUUGUGUCUCAUGACUCACCUUCCUGCAUCACCCGCCAGAAUUCCAGAGGCCUCAGAGGCACCCCCAAGACUACCCGGGGGGAGGCGACGACGUCGAUCCACUUCAGGAGACAGAAUGACUUAGAUGUAGAACGAGGCGACAGAAGAAAAGGCAGAGCUGACAUGGACAACGUGAAUCUUGAUAAGAACGACGAAGACAUAGGUGAGGUGAAGGAGGCGACGAUAAGACGGUGUGUGAGCAGUAAGGGCGGGACAAGAUCUCGGGAAAGUUCACCUUCUGUAGCGGCGAAGACACAAACUCUUCCUCGAGUUGAGAGUAGAAUUCGACCCAUCCUGAAACACACCGGCCAGAGCUUUGACAGCGAGGUGUUCAACAUAUACAAGAUGGGUCCUCUUCUGUCGAGAACUCCCAGCUCAAAGGAGGUACUGCUCACUAGGACACCCAGCACACAGAAGCACUCCAGGACUCCCAGCUCACAGGAACUUUCCAAGACUACCCACGACUCACAGGAUCUUCUAUUUUCCAAGACUUUGAGCUGCCAGGAGCUGUCUAAAGCUCCCAGUUCUCAGGAAACAGGACUCAGCAAGGCUCCCAGCUCACAGGAACUGCCCACGAGACUACCAACGAAGGCAUCCAUCCAGGAGUUGGACCACUUCCUGACGGCUAUCAUAAAGAACUUGGAGUUGCAACUGGAGGCGGGAGGUAGCGUCGCCUUCAAGCCCCGAACAGCAGGAGGAACUCUGGAGGGCAUCAAGAGGAAGAGGAAGAAGAGAAAGGAAGACAUACUGGGAGAGGAAAACAAGAUGGAGGCUUUGGAAGAUUCACCCAGGAAGUGUAAGAGGAUGAGUGAGUGUGGCGCGUGUGGACGUCGCUGGGUAGAGCCACGCCUUCUACCCUGCCUCCACACCGUCUGCACGCCCUGUCUACACGCCCGCGCCACACAUAUCACCCCUACGCCUUCAAACCCCGCUCAGAAUGGCUCGUCCACAUACCCCAGUGCCACAGACAAAAGCCAGAUCACGCCCACACCCACACCAAGGAGUAACAGCAGAAGGGCGUCACAGGAGCAUGAAGGAGGGGGCUCACUUGUCCUCUCUACUGCACCCACUACCUGUGCUACCUCACCCACACCACCCACUAUGACCUACAACGGUGGUCUGCUGAGUAGACACUGGAAUGGGGAGGGCAGCAGUAGCACUCACCUGUCACUCGGCAGUGUCAGUAGCGUCAGUAGCAGCGUCAGUAGCACCACAACUUCCAGGGACCAACACACCAACACCACAACUACUACUGCUAUUACUACUACAACUGACACUAAUAGUCAGCCAGGCAUUAAUGCAAACCAAGAAGAGUUACCUCGGGGAAACCAGCACAGUCAUAGAGAGCAAAAGCAGCAGUGGACGGCUUCCACCGACUUGGAAUCUGUUAUUGAGCUGCUGACAAACCUUUCCCCAAACUCCUCAUGUAAUAACAAUCCGACCCCUAAGGUGACCAUAACGCCCACACCAAGUGAAGGUAACACUCUCAGCAAGCCCACACCUCCAGUAUGUAGCGAGGAUGAUGCGCUGUCUCCAUCUAGUACGAUAGAUUCUAGGUGUUCCUCUAGGACAAGAUCGAGCGAACAGUCCUCUAGUUGUGAAAGCAUUCAGAAGAGUAAAGGCACUUGGGUUGUGUGGUGCCCAGAGUGUGGGUACGAGGCAGAGGUUCCUGUGGGAGGUGUCGAGUGUUUCCCUCUCAACUAUGUGCUACAGAAGCAGUUGGUUCUCGAGGCUCUCAACUCAUCCUCGACCACUGUCUUUUGCGACCUGUGUCAUGAUGAUGUAGUGGCUGAGGAACGCUGUGAUACCUGCCCUGUAAACCUGUGUCGACUUUGCAGCCAUGCACACACACGUCAGCGGCGCACCACUCACCACACCGUCAUAUCUUUACAAGAAGCAAGAAAUUUAGGCAUCCGAGAGGUUGCUCACACUCUCGUCUGCGCGACCCAUGGUGAAGGGGAGGUCGGGUGGUGGUGCCGCGGGUGUAAUGAACCACUGUGUGCGUCUUGUCUUGCCACCCUCCAUCGUGGUCACCCGACCGUCACAGUUGACCAGGAGGCACCACAAGCACGCAGGAAGCUCACCACGUUGCUCGACCAAGCCUCAUCCAGAAUGAGCGACCUUUUAACCACAGUCGAGGACCUGACGGGAGCGGCCACAAGAGUGCAGCAACGAGGUCGUGUUGUCAGCGACCAAGUCAAUGCAUUUAUUGAUGACUACAUAAUGGCUCUGGAGGAACACCGACACACACUACUCAGACAGGUACGCCAAGCAUGUGAACGCGCACAGCGAGGCAUUGUGACAGAAUCUCAGAGGGCGGGUCAGACUGCAUCAUGGUUGAGACAGGGAUGUGAUCUUACGCACGAUCUCCUUCAUCACGCCGGGGACGCUGAGGCUCUCGCUCUUGCCCCACUUGUCACCCGCAGAUUACAGGUGGUCUACAAAUGUAAUUGACUCAAAAUUUUACAUAAUGACGAGACCUGAGACCCUUGUGUCCACCUCCAAAACAUGGUGAUUCCUCCAAAACACUAUGUCCCUUCCAGAACAGUUGCUUGGAAAAAUUACACUGAAAUCCUGUUCCAUUUUGACUCAGACUCUGCUGGGCGAGGAAGUGAGGGGUUGGUUGCGGUGGGAGAGGUUAGCACUCCUUCGGGAGCACCGGGCAGGCAAGGUGCGGGGCCAUCGCAUCCAGGGUG